UACUUUUAAUGACUCUGAAGUCUGAACUGUAUAUUUCCUAUGCACAGGAAGUUUGUACAGACUAAUUCAUCGACCGAACAAUCAAUUAGAUGAGCGAAGGCGGUUGAGGAUGGCCCUUGAUACUGCCCGAGGAAUGAACUAUUUGCACAACUGCACUCCAGUGAUUGUACACCGUGAUUUGAAGUCACCAAAUCAUCUUGUUGAUAAAAAUUGGGUUGUGAAAGUGCCAACUAAUUGUCAUGAUUGAAUUUUCUUGAUGGCAUGCUGAAUGCUCCUUGUAGAUAUGAUUGAAAGCUUCAGAUGGAGGGACAACACAAGGAUGUAGAGGAGCAAGUUAAGGAUCGCUGAAGAUUCGCAUACUGAACCUAUCACCAAAUCGCCAAAUCAACCCUUUUUCAACAACCUUACGCCCUUUCAAUAUGUUACUCCAUCCCACGGUACUGCUCCGAUCUCUGCAUUCAUUAUAAAAUUGUAUCAAAAAUAUUUACCUUUGAAGAGUCUAGAUAAGAGUGAUUGUGGCUGAGAGACAACUUUCCAAUAUUAUUUUGUUAAUAGCGCCAAAUUUUGAUCCCCUUGGUCCUUAAAAACAAGUCCACCUUCUAAUUUCGGUAUUGUCAUAAUAUCUCAACUAACCCAUGCAAUUUUUCGCUCUGUACCUUUUUGACCCACCAAAAUUGGGAGAGUGUGUUAUGAAUCUCCCUAAUUAAAAUGUCAGAAAGACGGAAACGUGAUAAUGAAUAAAUUGGGAUAGCCUCCCCAACAGCUUUGAUUAGAACAUGCCUGUCUGUAGAAGAGAGAAGUUUUCUUUUCCACCCUUGAACUCGCUUCCUCACCUUGUCC